AUUGAACGCUGGCGGCAGGCUUAACACAUGCAAGUCGAACGAGUGGCGGACGGGUGAGUAAUGCUUGGGAAUCUAGCUGAUGGAGGGGUCUAACUACGGGAAACUGUAGCUAAUACCGCGUACGAUAGGAUGAGCCCAAGUUGGAUGAGGUAGUUGGUGAGGUAAAGGCUCACCAAGCCGACGAUCCCUAGCUGGGCUGAGAGGAUGACCAGCCACAGGGGGAGUGAGACACGGCCAAGACUCCUACGGGAGGCAGCAGGGGGGAAUAUUGCGCAAUGGGGGCAACCUGACGAAGCCAUGCCGCGUGAAUGAAGAAGGCCUUCGGGUUGUAAAGUUCUUUCGGUAGCGAGGCGUUAACUACAGAAGAAGCACCGGCUAACUCCGUGCCAGCAGCCGCGGUAAUAC
rnacentral:rRNA from 1 species